rnacentral:tRNA from 1 species
GGAGGGGUGGCCGAGCCUGGUUGAAGGCGCGCGAUUCGAAAUCGCGUAUCCCCAUAAAAGGGGAUCGUGGGUUCAAAUCCCACCCCCUCCG